rnacentral:misc_RNA from 1 species
AAAUAACUACAAGCCCAAAACGGAAGUGUGACUUGGUACUUUCAAUAAUUUUAUAAUGUUCGUAAGUUUCUUGGUCCAAUUUAUUUAUCUGAAUGUGAACUUCUGUGCAUUAUAUCAGCUUCAAUUAUAUAAACUGUUUGUUCCCUGACAAGUCCAGAUAGAUGGAAGCCUAUUGUAUGUGAUGUUUUCUCUCCAAUAAUACAUAUUGCUGUUUCAGUGCAACAAUGGCGCAACUGAAGAAAAGUGACUUUUCCGACGAAGAAAAUCAAUUUCACUUAGUAACACUUGCG